rnacentral:rRNA from 1 species
GAAGGUGGCAAGCGUUAUUCGGAUUUACUGGGCGUACAGGGAGCGUAGGCGGUUCGGUAAGCCCUCUGUGAAAUCUUCAGGCUUAACCUGGAAAAGUCGGAGGGGACUGCUGGGCUAGAGGACGGGAGAGGAGCGCGGAAUUCCCGGUGUAGCGGUGAAAUGCGUAGAGAUCAGGAAGAAGGCCGGUGGCGAAGGCGGCGCUCUGGAACGUUUCUGACGCUGAGGCUCGAAAGCGUGGGGAGCAAACAGGAUUAGAUACCCUGGUAGUCCACGCCUUAAACUAUGAAUACUAAGUGUCGGCGGGUUACCGCCGGUGCCGCAGCUAACGCAUUAAGUAUUCCGCCUGGGAAGUACGGCCGCAAGGUUG